AACUACUAAAUUAAUUAAUGCAGCCUUGUUUAGAGACAACUAAGGUACCACCUCCGUUCCAUAAUUCUUGUCGAAAUAUUAAAUGUAACUAGACAGUUUUUAGGAAUAAAUACAUCUAUGUUUGAGCAAAUUUGAGACAAAAAUUAUGAAACGGAGAAGUACAAUGCAAUAUAGAGUUAUUUAAGAUAGACAAUGCACCGGGAGAGGCCUGACGCAAGCGCCGGUCUCGUCAGGGGAACGAACACAUUUCUAAUUACUGCACCACCAAAUCCCUUACCCUCUUUCGUCUGGACGCCAUUCUUGCUCGCGGCGUUGCUCUGUCGCCUUUGAACUUGACCGUCCGAGAUUGCCGCUGUCGCCCCACCCAUGACGGCACGGAUGGAGCUCGCCCUCCGCCGGAGAGCAUCCAUCGAAGUUGCCCGUCUCGACCGCUGCCCAGGCCGUAGCCGCACCAUCCCGGCUGAUCUCGGAUGACGAUGCAGUUGAGCACAGUUCCCGAGUCUUUCAUUUGCCCCUGGGUACAGCCUAACGCGAGAAGAGGACGUGGUGGAAAGAGAUGGCAAGAGUUAGGAGGGCGUUCGAUGUCAGCAAAGGGGAUCAGCCGCUCGUGCUCGACAUGCAUCUCUGACGGACUGGACUCCGUAGGUGUUCUGUUUUGUUGUUUGCGUGUCCUUGUACUGGGGUUGCCGGGUUGGCAUGAUUGAUUGGCGCGGAUGAAAUAGAAAAGGCAUCGGGCUAAUAAAAAAAACUCCAGUUUCAA